CGUAGGGUGCGAGCGUUAAUCGGAAUUACUGGGCGUAAAGCGUGCGCAGGCGGUUUUGUAAGACAGAUGUGAAAUCCCCGGGCUCAACCUGGGACCUGCAUUUGUGACUGCAAGGCUAGAGUACGGUAGAGGGGGAUGGAAUUCCGCGUGUAGCAGUGAAAUGCGUAGAUAUGCGGAGGAACACCGAUGGCGAAGGCAAUCCCCUGGACCUGUACUGACGCUCAUGCACGAAAGCGUGGGGAGCAAACAGGAUUAGAUACCCUGGUAGUCCACGCCCUAAACGGUGUCAACUGGUUGUUGGGUCUUUACUGACUCAGUAACGAAGCUAACGCGUGAAGUUGACCGCCUGGGAGUACGGCCGCAAGGUUG
rnacentral:rRNA from 1 species